ensembl:snRNA Gm23845 predicted gene, 23845
CUACUGCCGCAGCAAAGGAGACACCACUAUCAAGAAGGUGGCUUUCCCAAGUUGAGGCUGUUCUAUUGUACUCGAGAUGUGCUGACCCCUUGAAUUUCUUCAGCUGUAGAAAAUUUAAAUGCAUACUUUGUGGUAGUGGAGAACUAUCUUCA